AGGAUUAACGCUGGCGGCGUGCCUAACACAUGCAAGUCGAACGAGGGGGCAACCCCUAGUGGCAGACGGGUGAGUAACACGUGGUCAACCUACCGUUUGUGGGGGAUAACCAGCCGAAAGGUUGGCUAAUACCGCAUACGUCCACGGCCGGCAUCGGCUGUUGAUAAAAGGAGCAAUCCGCAAGACGACGGGACCGCGUCCCAUUAGCUAGUUGGUGAGGUAACGGCCCACCAAGGCUCCGAUGGGUAGCUGGUUUGAGAGAGCGACCAGCCACACUGGAACUGAGAAACGGUCCAGACUCCUACGGGAGGCGGCAGUGAGGAAUUUUCCGCAAUGGGCGAAAGCCUGACGGAGCGACGCCGCGUGUGGGAAGAAGGCCUUCGGGUCGUAAACCACUGUCGAAGGGAAGAUAUUGACGGUACCCUUGGAGGAAGCCCCGGCUAACUACGUGCCAGCAGCCGC
rnacentral:rRNA from 1 species